UACGUAGGGUGCGAGCGUUGUCCGGAAUUAUUGGGCGUAAAGGGCUCGUAGGCGGUUUGUCGCGUCGGGGGUGAAAUCCACUGGCUUAACUGGUGGCUUGCUUUCGAUACGGGCAGACUGGAGGUAUGCAGGGGAGAACGGAAUUCCUGGUGUAGCGGUGAAAUGCGCAGAUAUCAGGAAGAACACCCGUGGCUAAGGCGGCUCUCUAGUACGUGACUGACGCUGAGGUGCGAAAGCGUGGGGAGCAAACAGG
rnacentral:rRNA from 1 species